UCGGUGACCAUCCCAUCUCUCAGCCUCCACACGUGCACCCAGUACACCUCUGAACCCUCCUCCCUCCCCUCUCCUAUCACGCAGUCCACGUGCCCCUCUCACUUCUUCUACACUCCUUAUCGUCCCGAACAAGUUCCUGAAGAAAUACGUUUGAAUUCGAGAGCGACAAGCACAAUGCGGCUGAGGGGAUACGCUAUACGCAGCCGCGCCCAGGGAUGACCCCAAAGCUCUGCUCGAAGGCUUCGCCAUGCCUGGACUCGUCGGCUCGGUGACCUCGCCUAAUUUCAGGGAUUCUGGACAACCGAGUCAAUGUUUCCUUCACUCGCAGCUGGCGGAAACAAUGGUUUUCUCCGUUCAUACAUGUGAAAAUACACAAGAUGGAUCUGUUAAAAUGAUUCAGGCACCAUUUUCACGAGUAUCAUCUCUUGCAGCUGGUGAAAGCCACAGCGUGCAUGCAAGUGAAAUUACUCUGCUGGCUGCAUCAGCCAGAGAUUGAGGGUCUGAAACUUCAGAAAUCGAGCACUCUAAACCCCUGCGAUGUCCAUGUCACAAACAGCAAACAUACAAGUGAAGUAUGAGAUUGGUCAGAAAGAGAGAGAAGGAGAAACUGAGAUUCCGGACGCAUUUAAGCCCUCACAAACUUGGCAAGAUGGAUAAGCUUUUGGGACACAAGUCUUCUAUUUGCUCAGCGCGGCAGUUGUUGCAACUGAUAGAAGCCGUCGAAAUCUAUGUGUUUCUAUGGAGUCAUCUCUUUUAUUGAAUGAAUAUGUGAAUUGCAGAUGAGGAAGGCAUCUGGAGGCCAGCUAGACGGCGAUGAAAGAAAAAGAUUCAUAAUAGGGAGCAAGGUUAGUCUGUUUUUACAGAUUUUCUAAUGACAGUUUCUUUCACUGGAAUUAGGACCGGGAGAGGAAGACUGCAAAUAUGCUGUUGUUGAUAUGAACAAAGGGCCCCGUAGGGAAUUGUUAUUGCCUUUGACUAGAGCGAUACUAUAGAUAUACCUACAAUUACAAAUGCUAAUGAUGGAAAAGGAGCCGGGCAUCUUUUCCCCAUGUCUUAGCACGACUUGUUUGUUCGUCCACAUGGACAUGGUUUUAAUUCAAUUGAACAUAUGAAGAAACGUGAGUCUCGUCUACUAAGCUGAGUAAAAUCAAACAGAGUAUUUAUGGGAAACUUGAAAGAUUAGGCCAGGAGGGAGGAAUUAGGUUUACAAGCGUUGUGGGAUUGACUUUUGAUUGGUGAAGGGAGACGUUUUGCAGUCUUGCCUGGUUUACGUAGGCCCCUUUCUUCUGCCUUUUUUUUACCUGUAUCGUUCUUGUGUGUUUUUUUUUUAAAAAUUUAUUUCGAAGCAUUAUGAAUAAUGAAAAAUGGCUGAUUAUCA